GGGAUAACGCCGGAGAGGUUAUUCUUGGAAAGAUCCACGGCAGAAAUGUUUGGAAUUUUUCCGAGUUGUGAAGGUAUCGUGCCAUUUAUGAAGUUACGGCUUAAAUCAAGUUGUCUCAAAAAUAUAAGGUUGCCUAUCUCCGAUGGAAUGCUUCCGCUUAAACUGUUGUGGGUUAAUACCAAGUUCAGUAACUGCGAGCAAUUCAUGAGUUGUAGAGGGAUGGAGCUGUUGAGCUGAUUGUAACCAAGAUUCAAAGAGGUGAGGUUCGUUAAAUAACCAAUUGUUGAAGGAAUAGGUCCAAUCAGAUUGUUCGUAUCAAGAGAUAGAGAAUCAAGGUUCCUCAGAUUUCCAACUUCUCGAGGCAGCAGACCACUAAGUUGGUUUGAAGAAAGAUCCAGAGAGGUUAAGUUGGUUAAAUUUCCUAUGGUCGGUGGAAUUGGACCAUUAAGUCUGUUGUGAGACAAGUCCAACUUUUCCAACGAGUUUAAAUAACCAAUGGUCGAAGGAAUAGGUCCAGUGAGAUUGUUCCUAUUUAGAAGCAGAGUCUUAAGAUUCUUCAUAUUUCCAACUUCUCUAGGCAGUGGACCGACAAGAUUGUUGUAAGCCAAGUACAAAACUCUUAACUGAUUUAAAUGAUAAAGUGUUGAAGGAAUAGGUCCAGUUAGAUUAUUAUUAUCUAGAUACAGAGAGAAAAGAUUCUUCAGAUUUCCAACUUCUCGAGGCAGCCGACCACUAAGUUUGUUUAGAGAAAGGUCCAAAAUUGUCAGCUUGGUUAAAUUACCUAUGCUCGAUGGGAUUAGACCAUCUAGUUUGUUACCUCGCAGAAUCAGGGAAUGAGGAUUCUUCAAAUUUCCAAUUUCUAAGGGGAUAGCACCAUUGAGAAUGUUAAAAGAUAGGCCCAGUACGACGAGAUUCCUCAAACUCCCGAUCGCCGAGGGGAUAGUACCUAUCGUAUAUAUACACAUGCAUAUGAUUAACUAACGAUAAAUGAGCAAUAUUAUCCAGUACCGAUAGGAAAUUAUUGUAUAUGCAAUGAAAUUAUUUAUAAUGGUUACCUGUAAGAAGGUUAUAGGACAGGUCAAGCUCCUCGAGUUUUGAAAGAGCACCAAUUUCUGAUGGUAUCCUUCCGGAGAGAAAACGAGUGCCCCAAAUUCUGAAAGUUACGAGGUUAGGAAAGCAAGUGAAGUUGAAUUGGCUAAGCUCUGCUGCGUUGCCAUUGUUUUCCAUCUCCUCAGAGUUUAUCUCGACUAUGCUUCCUGCUGAAUUGCAAGUGAUUCCCAUCCACUUGCAAUGAUCUGAAGUAUAGUUGGCCCUCGCCCGACUGCUAUUCCACCAGCCUGAAUUAAGUAAAGCUUCCCUUUCUAACUGAAUGGCUGACGAUGCAGCAGACGCUGUUACAACUGCAUUAUCAGUUGUAACAGGAGCAAUA
rnacentral:lncRNA from 1 species